rnacentral:rRNA from 1 species
ACGAACGCUGGCGGCGUGCCUAAUCCAUGCAAGUCGAACGCACUCUCGUUUAGAUUGAAGGAGUUUGCUCCUGAUUGAUAAACAUUUGAGUGAGUGGCGGACGGGUGAGUAACACGUGGGUAACCUGCCCUAAAGUGGGGGAUAACAUUUGGAAACAGAUGCUAAUACCGCAUAAAACCUAACACCGCAUGGUGUAGGGUUGAAAGAUGGUUUCGGCUAUCACUUUAGGAUGGACCCGCGGUGCAUUAGUUAGUUGGUGAGGUAAAGGCUCACCAAGACCGUGAUGCAUAGCCGGCCUGAGAGGGUAAUCGGCCACACUGGGACUGAGACACGGCCCAGACUCCUACGGGAGGCAGCAGUAGGGAAUCUUCCACAAUGGACGAAAGUCUGAUGGAGCAACGCCGCGUGAGUGAAGAAGGUUUUCGGAUCGUAAAACUCUGUUGUUGGAGAAGAAUGUAUCUGAUAGUAACUGAUCAGGUAGUGACGGUAUCCAACCAGAAAGCCACGGCUAACUACGUG